ensembl:lncRNA
GGGGAGUUGCCCUGUCACAGUGGGAGUGACUCCCUGCCUUCUGCACUCUGAGAUAUUGCAAGAGCCUGCUGCAUUGCCUGAGCUGGGUUCAUGGCCAGGGGAGAGCAUUAAAAGUUCCCUCUGCCCUUGUACCCUGGUUUAACUCUGACUGAGAAGAUCCCUCUGAAUAUCUCUCAGGCAUUGGGCUUCCCUGGUGGCUUGGUGGUAAAGAAUCCACCUGCCAUUGCAGGAGAUGCUCGUUCCAUCCCUGGUCCGGGAAGUUCCCCUGGAGAAGGGAAUGGCAACCCACUCCAGUAUUCUUGCCUGGAGAACCGUGAAGCCUGGUGGGCUACAGUCCACGGGGUCACAAAGAGUCUGAAAUGGCUUAGCGACUGAACAACAACGAUCUGCCGGUGGGGACAGACCAUCCGGAACUCCCUCUCCUUUGGGUGAAGCCUCGUGCCUGAGAGCCCCAUGGAGCUGUUUCACCUGCCUCCCUGGAUGUGCACAGUUGAUGAGCAUACCAUGCCCUACAGACUACAGUAAUCACCUGGACGGAGGUGCUGAGGCAGAGAAAAGCGGCACUGGAGAGAAGCUGCGGGUGAUGUUCAUUUCUUGCUUUCUCUAUUUCAGAGCCAAUCGUGCCUGGCCUUUUGGAAUGCAGCCGUCAUCCCUAAGGAAAAAAUUACGGCUGAGAACUGUGAAGGCUUCCUGUCCUGCUGCUGGGUUUAGGACCGAGGAAGCUGGUGUGGCUGGUGGGGAGAGGACGUUGCUAGUGUAACCUGGCAGGGCUGCACGCUGCUGGCGUUGAAGUGCAGUGAAAACGAGAGGCGGUGGGGAAGUUUCCACGGCGGCGGCAGGACAAGGUAACCUAGCUGGUGGCUUUGAUGCGGGAUGCCCUUGGGGAGCUGCUUGAUCUGAAUCAGACUGAGAGCCGGGCAAGGACACAGUUUCUCCUCUCUCAGACCCCGGGAGUUCUCCAGCCUACCUUUUCCGGCUCCCCACGAGCAUUUCCAAAUUGAAAAAAAAAAAUUACAAUACGUGUGGAAAGACACAGUGAAAGCGACAGCACCUUCCCCGUCUCCGGUGGCUCUGUUCUGACUUUGCGAUCAGCCAAACUGCAGCCCCGGGGCUGGCUCAGUGUGUCACCGUCAAUGAUUAGCCGUCUCCCUGCCUCUCCUGCUGGGUGUCCCGGCUCCUGGCCCCCGGCCGGCUCGGUGACCGGCUAAUCCUGUGUCCUUUCUCUCCAGCUUGCGACUCUGCCUGAAGGGCUUGGUUUCUCUUCCUGGAGUCAGGUUUGAAUUCACUUCAUUGUCACCUCCCAAUUGAUUUUUUUGCUAAGCAGUGGCUGAAACAGAAGGGUGAUGGGUCAGGGCAGGAAGGGAGGACUCCAGAGUCAGCUCUCCUGUGGUCUGGAGUGCCCUGCAGAAGUCUGAUGGUUUAGUACAUUUCUCUGGCUUAAGGGUCAAAGCACAGAAAGGCUUGUUGUGGAACUGGGAUGAUACAGGGUCGAGGCUGCUGGGCAGCAGGUGGAGAGAGACUCUCAUGAGUGUGUCACGUCAGCAGAGUCGGUCUCUGGGGCAUCCAGCCCCCUCUCCGGGCAUUUUCUCUGUUUCCCGUCCCUCCUUGGGUACCAUGUACCUUCAUCACGUCACCUGGGUGCUCAGAGUGUCCUUGGGCAAAAGCAUGCAUUCAGACCAUUAUCAAAGGCUUUCUUUCCCUUUGUAUAUUCCCAGUACCAUUGUCCUUGAAGCCUUGUACUUUGGGGCCAACCGCUUCUU